AAUUGGGUAAUCUGGUGCCUAUAUAAGAAUAGAUUUCCAACUUCUCCAGAUUAUGGUGAGGUUGGAGCCUUUCAAAUACACCCUCUGCCACUUCCACUUCAGUAGAUGAUGGUUCAUGUUCCUCACCCCCACCUUUGUUCCACUCAAGUCUCAGGUAAUUCAAUCUCGUCUUUGCCCUCAGGUUUGCUUGCAUGGCUUCAUCUGGAUCUUUCACAUGAUGCAGAUUCUUAAUUUCCAAGCUACCACGAAUAGAGUUCAGAUGUUGCAGCUCCGCGAUGGUGCAUCCAUUCUCCUGAGCAACAAUGAACAUCGGCAAUGUCUCAAGGUUACCCAACCGGCCCAAGCCACGAGGUAUGCAAUCCAAAUUGUCACAGCCUCUUAUAUCUAGGUGUCUGAGGUUGCCUAGAUUACUUAUACCUUCAGGCAAUUCUUUUAGCAUCCAGCAAUAGGAAAGAUUCAAUGUCUGCAAACUGGAAAGUCUGGUGAUCGAGGUAGGUAACGUUGUAAUCUGAAAACACGAUGAUAUAUCCAUAUAUCUAAGGUUGCAUAGGUUACCUAUACCUUCAGGCAAUUCUUUUAGCAUAUUGCAAUUUGGGAGAUUCAAUGUCUGCAAAUUGGAAAGUCUGGUGAUUGAGAGAGGUAAUGUUGUAAUAUUAGGACAGCAUGAUAUAUCCAUAUAUCUAAGGUUGCACAGGUUACCUAUACCUUCAGGCAAUUCUUUUAGCAUACUGCAAUCUCGAAGAUUCAAUGUCUGCAAAUUGUAAAGUUUGGUGAUCAAGGUAGGCAAUGUUGAAAUCUGAGCUGGCGAUAAGUCAAUGAAUCGUAGAUGCUUUAAUCUGCUUAUUCUAUUAGACAACUUCGCAAUUCCACUGGAAUUUAAGCCCAAUGCACGUAACUGGGGGAAAGUUUUUGUUGCAUUGAAGAUAAAUUCAUCCACAUCAACGUUACUACGAUAUUCUGCCUUUAACAAAAAAAGCGAUCUCAAUUUUUUGGCUUCAUAAGUUGUCUUGAAAUCAAUUGAUGACCCAGAAGAAUAUGGUAUCGAUAGAUAACGACAUUCAAGUGAAAUGCUCUUCAUACCCCCCUGCAUGACUAAAGCUUCAUCCUUUGUGAUGGAACAUGCAAGAUCAUGGACUAAAUCAUGCAUCUUACAAGUCCCUCGAUUAUUGUACUUAUCCAUUUGGACAUCUUGAAAGAAUGAUCUCGACAACAAAUUAUCAAAGUAUUGCUUGCCAAUGUCCUCAGCAUUUUGAGAAGUACCUGAUGUAUCUAUGAGUCCUUCAGCCAUCCACAAUUGAAUCAAUCUCUCGAUUUCAAUUUCAUGAUCUUUCUGGAACACAGAACAGUACGUGAAACACCGCUUCAAGUGAGAAGGUAAAUGAUCAUAACUUAACUUUAGUACAUGGAGAAUUCCAGCUUCGCCUAUGGGUAACCCUCCUACUUCAAAAUCUUUACAGAUAGCUGACCACUCCUGUACCUUUGUGUAAGAGUUCAUCAGACUUCCAAGAGCUUUUGCUGCUAAAGGCAGACCUCCACACUUUUUAAUGAUCUCCCAUCCAAUUUUCUCCAAUUCUCGGUUAUCUUCUUCCCUCUCAGACCUAAAUGCCCUUUGCUUGAACAGACACCAGCAAUCCUCAUCUUGCAACCCUUGCAAUCGAUGUACUGAGACGGUUCCGAUUGUAGAUGCACCAGAAACAGCAGUUUCAAUGCGUGUUGUUACUAUGAUCUUGCUUCCUAAUUUGGCAUGUAUGAACAAAGGUUUUAGUUGUUCCCACUCCGAUUCCUUAUCGUUCCAUAAAUCAUCUAAAACCAAAAGAAAUCUUUUUGUUCUCAAUUUUUCAUCCAAGAAAGUUGACAUGGUUUGCAAGUUUGAGAAAAUGCUCUGCUCCCCUUUAAGUUGUUCAAUCAUUGCCCGCAAGACCAUUUUCCCGUCAAAAGUUUCACCCACACACACCCACAUUCGAAGCUCAAAUUGCUCCUUAAUCCUCUCAUUGUUGUAGACUAAUUGAGCAAGGGUUGUCUUUCCAAUUCCACCAAGGCCAACUAUUGUAAGGAUGGAGAUAUUUUUGUCAUUAUCUCUGUCAACUAAGAACUCCAUGACCUGUUUUUCAUCUUCAUCUCGUCCAUAAAUUUUUGGUUCGCUCACCAAUGAGGUGGUCUCACGGUCCACAGGUCUAUCUGAGUCAGAUUUGAUCACCAUCAAAUCAAAAUCCUUGUUCUCCUUUGCAAUUUCAUCAAAUCUCUCCCUAAUUUCACUUAUCUUGCCACCAAUUUUAUAUCGAAAUGCGAUUGGAUUGUUUGAGGAAAAGAAGUCACGCACCUUUCCAGUCAUGCGGUCAUAUCUCUCCAUUCUUCGCCGCAGUGCUUCAGUUUGGAACUCAUCCACCACAUCGUCAGCAUCUAAAGCUGCAUCUUUGAGUUUCUUCAACCAACUUUGCAGAGCUUUGUUGGUGAUAGAUUUCUUCUCUGCAUCAUCAAGCACGUUCUGGAUCGUUGAUAACUUGCUCUGCAACUUCUCCAUGUCGGUGUAGACGCUCCUCGCCAGUCCCAGAUCCUUCCAUAGCCCAGAGGCCAACUUCUCCACCACCAUUUCGACAGCAGCACCGGCAGCUGUUACUGCUAAUUCUGCCAUGAUUCUAGAGGAUGAUUGGAGAACCAAUUAAAGCUACGAUCUCUGAGGUCAAGCUUUGGUGAAUUAAUGGGGAAUAUGGACAGACACCUGGGUUCAGAUUGUAUCUUCGGCGCAAAAGAAUGAUUCACCUUCUUUCAUGACAUCCAUCGUUGGAUUGCCCAACAGCCACUUUGAGAUCUGUACAAGCAGCCGAUGGAAGAGGGAGGUUGGUAUUGCGAAAGAAGGUGAAUCAUUCCUUCGUCCGAAGAUGAGGAAGAAGCUUGGCACGCGGUGGACUCUGCCGGGCGAGAAAUUGCCAAGACAAUAAGCCGAGGAUAACGCCAAAGAGCCUGGUAAUCUUUUAAUGUCUAAAAGACCGAUGAUGGACUUGCCAUUUCAUUUAUUUAUUUAUUUCGUUUCCUUUGAGGCCUUGGACGGCAGAAGUGGAGCCCCUGCCAACGAGGAUGGCAAUGGCUCCCAACCGGCAGUGGCUCAUCUUUCAUUUAUUUUAUUUAUUUAUUUAUUGUAUUUUUAUCUUAAAAAAGUGACCUUGGAGUCGUGAUACCGGGAUGGAUCACAUGGAUGCUGCAUCUACCAAAUUUGAAUAAUGGCGAGGAAGAAGCUUUGCAAGUGAUGGACUGAGCUAGGCGAGAAAAAUGCCAAGGCAACAGACGAAGCAUAAUGCCAAAUAGCAAAGAAAACAAAUGAAUAGAAUAAGAAACAAAAUGGUUUAGUAUCAGUUAAAAGGUAGAUAAUCUUGUAUGGUUCUUUUUUUUCGUGGGCGGUGUUGGAAAUAAAUACAUACGGAGCACAUGAGAGGUCAUAGGUGAUGAUAGGCUGAAAGUAGAUUGGAAUCAUGUAAAUGUUUAUUGUCAUUUUUUUUUUUGAUGAUAGAUACAAGUGAAUGUUGUCAGAAAAGGCUACUAAAUGGAUAGAGGCCAACUUCUUCACCACCAUUUCGACAACAGGACUGGCAGCUGUUACUGCUAAUUCAGCCAUGAUUUUGACGGAUGGUUGGAGUAACAGAUCGGAGAACUAACAAAAGCUUUGAUCUUCUUUACUGAGGUCUUGAUUCAAAUAAAUGGAGACUUGUAUGUGGUGGUUCAAUCGUCCAACACCAAUAAUUGAGAGGAAGUGGCGAGGACCUCUCAGAAAAAAACAUGUGACAGGAGGAAGCCAGGAGAAGAAUUAUUGGAGAGAAAAAGUGGGGGACGUGCUAUUGGUGGAUCUCUGGGGCAAUAUUUUGGAGACAGCUGGUUUGAUGGUGAUGGAGUAUACUAGGUCUUGGAGCCGGACAACCAGGCGCUCAAUGGAAUCGAUGAAGUACAAUGCAAGUAGAACAAUGUGAGGGCCAUGGAGCAUUUUUGCUACCUUUCAAGUUGCACUUUAAACACCACUAAGAUAUUCUUUAGCGGAAAACACUGAAAGUAUUCCGACAAGAAUUUAGGUUUCAUUUGAUAGCUCACAAUCUAUUCAGAUUAUAAUUUAAUAUGAUAAUUUAGAUUAUUAUAUUUGAUAUACCUUUUAAGCAACGUUUCAGAUUGCUUCAUAGAAAACAAUCUGAAUUAUCUUGAGAAAAGAUGGCUAUCCAAAUUAUCACUUCUUUGAUAAUAUUGUAAUAAAAUUUUAAAUAAAAUUAUCUCUCAAAAAAAUUAUACAAAAUCUAUUGUCCAACUCUCUCUCUCUCUCUCCUCCACCCUCCUCCGUGUGUGCCUCCAGCCUGUGGCUCCUCCAUCUUCCUUUGCUUGUACCUUAGAGUUGGAUAUGCAAUCUUGGCUUUUGGGAUCAUCAUGGGCUUUGCAAAUCUAUUUUGUGGGUAUGCUAAUCAUUCUAGUUUUUUAAUCCAUAUCAAGUGCUUUUCUUGAUAAAAAAAUAUUUUAAUUCAUUCAAAAUCAAAAAAUUGAGAAACUGUCCUCUGCAACAAGCUUUAUGUGGGAAUUAUUGGAAGUAGCUGUGCACUAUACCUGAUGCCCAGAACUCAUCAUUCUUUGAAAUCCGACGGCCAAAGCAUUGCACCAAAAAAAGCAUUUCACAAUGGAGACCCAUGCGACAAGAGGAUUGGGGCAAUUUGGAAUGAUAAUGCCAUACAUAGCGCAUCUCUAUUGUAAGGAACCAAUUCUAAGAUUUUCUUGGCACCGACUUUGAGCCCAAAAACAUUUUUUGCCUCAGUCUCAUCAUUUUGCAAGAUGGACCUCUAAUUUCAAUAUUGCGUAGAAGGAUUUAAUUGCAGGAACAAUGGUAGAAGAAAAAAAAAAGCUACUAUGAGGAUUUAUAUAUGCAAAAGAUAUUUUCAAGAGACAUAUGAGGAAAAAAUUGCAAUAUAUUACAAAAUUUGUAAUAUGUAUGUAAAAUUUAUUAGUAAAAUAUAUUUAAUACAAAUAGAAAUAGAUCCCAUCUAAAUUAGUCCAUUCUAAAUAAAAUUUCAUGGAACUUAAUUUUAAACAUUUACUCUUGCAUGGGAUAGAAUUUCUACUACUUUCUUUGACAAGGAUGAAUAUGCAAUUAAUGUUCAAUUGGCAUACUACCUAUUUGACAACAUCAAAAAGCAGCCUAAAGUCUAUUUGGUUGCCUAUCUCAAGCUCAAGAAAAAAUUUCUAGACCUCUAAGGAUAAUGGCAAACUAGAAAAAUUGAGAAAAUGGGUUUUCUCAAAUUUAACCAAAAAGAAAUCUAGAAAUUAGAUUCUUUUCCCUGUUCUUUUUAUAUUAAUUUAGAUAGUUCCUUUUAUAUUAAUUUAGGUAGAACCAAGUUAACGUAAUUAAAUUGUUGGGUGAAUAAAGAACUAUGGACUGGUUUGGUUUGCGGAAAAAAGGGGAGAAGUAUGGUCAAUGGAAACAUAGAAAAUGACUGCAUGUUUGGUUGAUAUUUUCAAAAUAAGAGAGAGAGAAAGUAGCAUAUUUAGAUUUUUUUUUCAAAUAUAGCUCUAUUCAAAGGAGAGAGAUGGGUAAAGAUGAUUGAUCUUCUUUUAUGAGCCUAACUGUUUAGUGGGUCUUGAUGCUUUGAGAUCAGUACAUGGAGUUUAACGUUGCACAAGUGAAUGGAGCAAAUCUGACUCUAGGCACUCAUCCAUAUUUAGGUUUUUUUUACUUUUGAUCUUAUCUUGGUUUGUUGAGAGAGAGGAGGAGAAAUCAGGCCUUCCUCUAUCCUCAUGCAAGUCCUCGAGGCCCUCCUUCAUUUUGGUAAACUUAUAUUUCAGUAUCUGUUUAAUUCUAUAUAUGUUGGAUAAUGCUUAACGUAGAACAUUAGUUAUUUGGGUACAGACUUCUACACAUUUAUUCCGUUUUUGGUCAUUGCAAGUUAGACAAACUUGCAGUGGAGCACCGUUAACCAAACUCAUAUACUGGAUUAACAUAGAAAUAUACAAUGUACCUUGGAAUGUAAUUAAAAAAAAAAAUCACAAUCUGUUUUAUUCUGGUGAUAUGAUGCCAUUGUUGUGAACCAUGUACAGUGUUUUGCAGUACUUCGGCAAAUAACAAACACAAAAAUAAGAUAGUGAAGGUGCAAAGCUUAGGACACGUGCCAAAUCAAAGUGAAGAAGGGAAGAAGAAUCGCAAAGCAAAAUUUUCAAAUCAAGAGGGACAUAAUAGAGUAAUCAUGAAGAUUUAAAUUAUGAAGGACAUUAUGGUUGACUGGAUAACUUAAGGAUGCACCAUUUCGCAAGGUUCCCUCGUGCCAUCACUAGCGAAAACAGCAGCACCAUAUGGAGAACCCCCUCCGAUGUCAUCCAUCUUGAACAGACCUACUCCGAAAGUGUAACUGAUGGGAGCAUAUAACAUCCCAUGGGGGGCUUACUGGGUGAUUGCAGUCUAUCUGUAAAAAUAAAAAUAGAGGUAUAAUUUAGCUGCUGACGACAUCAACUUCCCAAAAUUUUCAAAAAAAAAAGAGAAAAGAAAAAGAAGCUAUAGCUCAUGGAGCAAGUAA
rnacentral:lncRNA from 1 species